CUUAGACUCAAGGGUCAUAGAAACUUUCACUGUUUGUCCUAAUUAUGUCAUUAUGAUGGUGAAGAAUUAGUGACUGCUGUUAACACCUAGAAUGGAAAUCAAGAUUUGUGAAAUUUGUGAGCUAUAGAUCACUUGUAAGCCCACUAGGGAUGGUUCUGUUCAAGACAAGAUGUGGAUCUCAUUCCUGCUGACCUCCUCCCCAUAGUAUUUCCUCCUUUUGGCUCUCCUAACCAACCACAACCCCCAGAAGUGCUGGCAAGAUGAUCUGAGAGGAUGUUCACAUGGCUAAAAUGACACAUGAUUUUACUUGCGCUUUCAGAGAAGUUAUUCUUAUUGAAGAUUCUUUGAUGGUUGCACAAAAAUUGUUUACAAGACACUGAUGUAUGGAAUGGAUGUAAUGAAUGCGAUACACAUACAAAGUGGAUAUUUAAUCUAGGAAGACUUCCUAAAGAUGCCAUGUCAUCUUUACAUUUAGUCUGGGAACACUUUCUCUAAAAAAUGUCAUCUUCAGAGCAUAUCUUUUCUCAUUUUCUUUUUAAGUCUAUUUUUUGUGAAAGUGUGCCAGGAGUCUUGUCAUAAAUGUAGUCCUCAGAGGCCGCUCCACUGUCGACAAGGGCAAUUUAGCUCACUGUGGAGCUGUUCAGCCAGACCCGGGGCAAUUUAGCCUGGACAACGUCCAGUCAGACAGUGCCUGACCAGAAUCCUGCAUCAGCCUUCUCACCUUUUCACACAUUAAAUCAAUGGAAAUUAAAAGACACUCUUAGAGUUGCACAACUUAAAAGGCACACUUAAAAUUGCAAUGAAAAAGUUUAGACUGAGGGAUAAUCAAGGGCAGUGAACAAAAUUUGUCAAAGCAUAUUAAGAUGUUGAAACUUUAAGCAUCUUUUAAAAAUUCAGAGAAAGUAAUGAAACAAAAUCUUCUUUGAAGCUUUAUAGUUUGUGUCAAUGGGGUAAUGAACUGGGAGCUAGAAAAAAAACAAACAAACUCCAGUCCACUUUGAAACUGGUGUCACCACAGGAAUGAUGUAAUGGUUCUCUGUGCAGCCUUUGACGUCAAUAAAUAUAGCAAGCUGACAGUAGACAUUAGCACAUAAGUAUGGGAAAAAUAGUCACAAUCUGCAAUGCUACAUCAUAUUAGACAUAUACUCAUGUUGUCCAAUUUUGUGAUACAAGCAAUGAUUUUCAUUGAAAUUGUAACUGAUUUUGGAAUGUUUUCUUUUUGAAAUGCUAAAUAUGAUUGCUGAAUAUUUCUUGUAAAUUAUUAAGUAUCCUUAACAACUGUCGGUUUACCACAAAACAUGGAUGCUAAUGGCAUGCAAAUGAAACCCACACAACACAAUUAGUGUUAGCUGGGUCAAGCUGGGAAGCAGAAAUAGGGAUACAUCUGCAUGACAUAAUGUAAAAAUAUAUCUUCAACUGGCUUUGCAAAAAUUAUUGAGUUAUCCACAUAUUUUCUUAUUAUGUUUGUAAUCUGUCAUUCUUAGACGCUGUUUUAGCUGUAGUCCUUGGUUUGAUCAAACCGGGUGUGGAGACAAACUUUGCAGUUAUGAAAAUGACUGCUUAUA